GGACCAAUCCGCGCGGGGAACAUCUGGGCACCCACCUCCGCGGGCUGCGGCCGGGAGGUGAUGCGCUCCUCAGUGGCUGCAGGGACCCGCAGGAGCUGCCACCACCGCCACCACCGCUACCACCACCUCCACCGCCACCACCUCCUCCAGGAGCAGCGAGGGAAGGACGGAGCAGCCCUCCCUCUGGAGCCGGGGCUCGCUGGGUAACCGUUCAGCAGUGCCGUGCUGCCAGAAAUGCUCGCUGAGCCCGUGCGAGGGGGAAAUCUUACCAGAACUGCUGAGAUUAUCCCAGAAAGACCCUUUGCAGACUGACUCCGCAUCCUCAGAGCUGAUCUGAUCAGGGCCUACCAAAGACAUUAACGACGUCGAAAGUAGCCUACUUUAAGAGAAAAUAUGCAGAAGAAGAACAUUUACAUCAAGAUUACCAUGAGUAUUGUCCAAAACACUUGAUAUUACCAGAGGACCGGACUUGUAUCCUAAAACUAUCCCUCCAGAAACUCCGCUUCCUGGACGACCCCGAAGCCUAUCUCCGUAGGUCUGUAUUAAUUAACAAUCUGUUGAGGAAGAUUCACCUAGAGACAGAGAGGGAGAGCUAUGAAUACUUUAAGGAGGCUCCGUGCUAUAGGACUGCUUACUCUGACGCACGAAAACGGCUGAAGUUUAUGGUGCAGGAGUGCUGUUCCCAGUCGCUCUAUUAUGAAGAGCUGCACUCGUAUCGCAUCGUGCCUUACUCUGCAGAGAACGCCGUUUACGGAAUGGGCUACACGGGCAGCCACCUGGAGCAAAAUUCUCAGUUGCUUAUUUAUAAAAUGAAUUAAAAGUAGCUGUUAGACCCACUGAUGUUUGUUUCUGAAUGCUUGAACUGCUUACUGAGGUGUUAAGGUGAGGCACUAAUUGCAGAUCAAAGGCGGAUGCGUUGGGAGCUGAGUGGAAGGUACUUUGGAUAAUGCUCUGCAGCCCCCCGCUGUUAAACCCCCCGGUUGUGAAGUACCUUGCUGUACACAGAGAGCUGGUGCAAUACGGAGGUCCUUGCCCGCAGAGACUGCGUGCAGCGCGCUUUGUAGAAACAAAGCUGCAUUUUUAAGUUCCCUGUGUGUAGAUACAGAUGUUCCAAAUCACUUUUACAGUUAAAUUAUGCCAUCCCUGGUGAAAGGGGAACUGCCCAAAGCAGUGGAGUAGUCUAACAGUGAGGAGUAAAACACAAGUUAUCUACUGUAAAAGUAUAGAUAGAAAGUUUGUUUGAGGAAUGCUUUGACCAUGAAGGAGUCAGUGCCAAAGGAAUCAGCCUUUAGUUUAGGAUUUUCAGAGACUGAACUCGCUUGCUACUUACAAGACACUCUAUACUGAGAUUUGCAAGGGUUUGUGGGUUGGUUUUUUUUUUAAUAAUUGCAUUCACCUUUUACUUAUAUUAUCUCUUAGCUGGUAUCUACUUUGCUAUUUUAAUAAGAACCAGAAUGACUCACAAGAAAGAUUGUUUCUUCAGCCCAUCAUUGAUGUUCCCUUAACUUCAUUUGCCUCUUUCCCUAGCUGUUUCCCUGAUACUUCUUUGCAUGCUAAUUUGCUGUUUGGCCCGAGGUUCACACUGGUGCUAGGGAAUAGACAGCAAUUUCUUUUUAUGUGGAAUAUAAAAGGCAGAAAAGCAAUGAUAACCCUCGUAGAUAGAGAAUGAAUGUAUCUGACACAUGCUGAUAAGACCUCAGAGGUUCUGAUAAAACUGCUCAGCAUUAGUAAUAAUGUUUCAGGUUAAGUGAAAUGUCUAAUUUCAAUCUGGGAAUUAACUUUAGAAGAUGUAAAUAUAUAUUUCACAAGCUACGACACGCGAGAUGUUCAGCAAAUGGAAUGACUACAAGUGGAAAGUUUUAUAGCUGCCAAAGCUAUGUCAUGAAAAUACCAAAGAGUAACAUAAGGGAAAAGAUGAUGCUCCAACAAUGGGGUCAAAAGCAAAGAUUGCACUAUAAUCUGGGGAAAUGUGAUUAAUGAGCCUGUAAAUUAGCUGUUAGCGAUACACCUGCAGUUCACCCAUGAGUGACCUGCAUCCCAGAAUUGCUGAACAAAUAUGCAAGAUGAUUCAAAGCCUGACGAAGUCCUGCAGGUCUGUUGGCUUACAGCAAAGAAACUGGCUUUGCCUCGCUGGCUAUCACCACUUUAAAGCUUUAAAGCAAAGUAAAUAAUAGCGCACACUCAGCUGGAGGCAGAUAUAUAUAUAUAUAUAUAUAAAAAAAAGAAACUAAUUUUUUUUAUUAUUAUUUUUAAAGGCUUUGCUCGUGCAGAUGUGGCUGAUGUUAUUUCUGAAGCAUUAUACGGUAUGAACAAAUACCAUGGCUUGCCAGGAACGUGCUUUGUGUCAGAUUCCUCCUGUCACCCUGCUUAGAGCAUCCUAGUUGUGUGAGUUGCACAUAUCAUCACAGGUCUCAGGCACGUCUUAGUGCAGGAGAAAAGGCAGGAAGGCAAAAGCAAGAGGUGUGAAGAACAAAGUCAACUCUGAUAUCAGUGGUUAGAAGCCGGUAGAGGUAUAAGAGAUAGAAGAAAGCAGUAAAAUCCAGAUAUUUUUUUUUAAAUAAUAAUAAAAAAAAGGCAACAGUGCAAUUCAAAACAAGGAUAACCUGCAAACUGGAGAACAUAAACAGCACAGAUAUUGUGGGAAGGCUGGAAAAACAGGGUUGUGCUGUUUGGGAGGUGCUGUUAGUCAUGAUGAAUGUUCAGGUUUUAGUUUUUAUUUUGAGACAAGGCAUAUUUGCUUGUCUUGUACAAGAGGGUGUCUUUAAAUCCUUGGUCAGUGCAAUUCAGCAUCAGAGCUGCCUGGCUAUGUGUGGUUGAUUCCUGCUGCCCCUGGGCUUGCACCAGCCCCACAUCAUGUGAAUGGUUAAGCUUUCAUUUGGUGUGGUUUGAGAAAUCUCCAGUUGAAGGUGGCCGUGCCCACCUCAACAGGGGGCUGAGAGAGGCCAGGCUAAUGAUCAGGUGUGUGGAACAGCCCCAGUACCACCAGUAGGAGCUGGCAGAGAAGCCCAUCUGCUGCGUGGGCUGUGGGCUGGCGAGAGGAAGGCUGUUGUGAGAGGUGCCAUUAUCCCCCAGGGAGCUCUCUGGCCUCUGGGGGCACCUCACAGGCCUCGUGCUGCCUUAAGGGCUGGGAUGGUGGCAGAGGAAAAUUGCUCCUGUCUUCUGAUUUUUCAAACCAUGUAAUUUUCCACUCUGAAUUGAUCUGAUUUAUGCAUUUUUUUCUCUUCAUGUCCAUUUCACUUGAAUUCAUAAUGAUCUAGCAGCUACAUGAAACGCUAAAGUGCUUCUUUUCUCUCACCGACUGACUUUAUUAUACUCGUAGGAUGGUUCUGGCUUGAAUAAACAAAACUUUUAACUUAAAAUUAGUAAUGUUUCAAUGAAAUAAAAAAAGCUCAGUAGGAUCAAAGUCUUUAACCUCACUUGGAAAAAAAACACUGGCCCUGUCAGAUUCAUCUUUGAAAAGGUUCUUUGCCUACUGGAAGAGGCAGAUACUCUCUUGCCUAUUGAAAGCUUCUCUGAUGAGGUGUUAAGAUAACUGAACGCACAUAAUAGACAAAAAUCCGCAUCAGAUCACAAAACUCCUAGGACAAAGGAUGAUAUUUUACUCUUGUUUUUCUCAUGUGUUAUUUUCUUGAGCAAAAAAUAUUGUUCAAUUUUUUAACUUUUACUUGCUCUCAGAGCUGUUCAAAUGGAUUAUUUCUUUCUAGAGAACAAAUUGAUUUUGUUUGGUUGACUUAUUGCUAGCAAAUUGAAUCAAAGGUCCCCAAUUCUAAAUGUUUUUAGUCUACUUUAGUUUUUACUGCCUUCCACUUUGCCCAGUGAUUGGUCCUGUUGAAAAGUGGAUUUGAAGGAUUCUACUUUAGUACUAAAAAAACAUAUUUUAUGGGGUGAUAAAGAAGUACAGAGGUGCAAUAACAUUGCAAGUGACUCCCAAAAUAUUUAAUUGUACAGCUUUUGAACUAUAUACUGAUUUUAACAUUUAGUUACCAAGUUACUGGGUACCAGCACUUUAAUACAGCUACAUACAGUGAUUUUUCUUUAUGGGGUUUGUAGCUACAAUUCAGCUCUUCUGGCUUCUGAUGUGUGAAUCUGUCUGUAGGUGGUCAACUUUCAGUGAGAUAUAUAUAUAUAUAUGUUCUAUUAUGACUGCAUUAGGAACUCCUACAUAUGGGCUAUGUUUGCACUGGAUGUAAAGAAAGUCCUUCCUUCCCUUUGACUCAGUUGCCUUGGAGAUAGAAUAUUCAUUGGAGAGAAUAUAAAUAAGCUGGGAGACAAGGACAGACUUGGUGAUGAGAGCUGAUCAUUUAGAAAGUGACUGGCUUAGGACGAUUCAUUUUCACCUUGGAAUAGCAGCACACUGGGCUGUAAUUAGUGUUUCUGUGAGUUAAGUUUUCUUUGUGUUGCUUUUCCCUACCUGAUUGGACAUGUUGAUGGAUAGUGGGGUGGCUCCGUGGCAGGCACAGUGUGGGUGUCAUGUCUCUGCCUGUACAACCCGGUGAUGAACCCCAACAUAUUGCUUGAGCAACUUGGUCUAGUGGAAGGUGUCCCUGCCUAUGGUAGGAGGGUUGGAACUGGAUGGUCUUUAAGGUCUCUUCCAACCCAAACCAUUCCAUGAUUCUAUGAUUCUAUGAUAUUAGGGCUCUGAUCCUGUAAAUGCUUCAGUUAUCAUCCAGUGUCCUUGCACAGACCCUCUUGCCUAAGCCCAAGAGGCUCCUUGUGUGCUUGAUGCUCAGCAUGUCUAUGAGCCUGUGCAGGGCUGGGGCUGCUGGUUCUCCUCAAUUGCCUCAUUAUCAGUGAAAGUGAUUAUCGAGCUGCCGCUUGAGUUCUUGACUACAUUUAUAUUGCACUGUAAAUUGAACUUUUGUUUUCAAUGAAUGUGUUGAGUAUAUGGACUAUUGUGCCUUAAAGUCCCAUCCUCAUGCGAGCCUUUGUAAACGUUCUGUAAAUCUGCAAACCGUCUAUUGCUGAUGACUCUGUGCACUCUAUACAGAUCUGAUUUGGUACUUGGCAGGACCUUGGGAAACCCAACCCUGACCUCAGUUUGCCGUGAACACAGAGGGGAUAUGCCAAUUCCCUCUCCUCUUCUUUUUUCUUUUUUUUUUUCAGAUUGUUUUCCUCUUCACUGUUCAUGAAAUUCUGUUUUUCUGGUUUCUGUCAUAGCUGGGUUCUGGGUCACCUACAGCACCAAGAGCCCCUUGCAGGAACUCAGAAAGUUGUAAAAAAAGUUGUCUCCAGCUUUUAAAUGCCACCUGUGGGCGUGCUCUCAGGAGGGAAUCACAGCUGCAUAUAACAACUGUGGCAGGUGUUGUCAAGUAUAUCAUCAUAUAUUUGACAUGAUUAGCAGAGUAGAAAAGGGAACACCUAUUUCUAUUGAAACGCAUGAGCCUGCAUAAUGUUAAAUACAUGGUGAUUAUGCACCAAGUAAUUGGAAUAACACCUACUGGUUCUGUAACAAAAAACAGCUUUUUAAUGUUUAAAAUUACCUGGGACCUGAUUGAAGGUUUUUAUGAAAUUGUUUUCUAAAGUGAAUAGUAGAAAAAUGUAUAUGUAUUUUAAAUAUACGUAUGAUGUGCAUGUUAUUAAUAAAGAUCUAUUUCUAUUGAA